UUCAUUCGCGUCUCGACGCAGGCGUGGGACGGGGUCCGGAGCGACGGAACGCGUUCUUCGCGGAACGGGUUUCGCGCCCUCCGUCCUUCGAACCGGCGGCGAACGCGUGCACUUUUCUCCUGGUAGGACGUCGCGAUCCGUCGGGUGUCGGUCUACGACUUGCGGUGGAGCCCGCCCGUCGUCUCUAGUACGUACGGACGGACCCGCUCGUUCUGGCCGACUCGCUCGACGGUAUACGUAAGGUCGGAGGCCGCUGCUUUUGUCAAAGAGCGUUCGACUCGUCGCAAGCGCGCCACGUGAGUCGGCACGCGGACCCGGUGCCGCGUCCGACCUCUGGUGACUGUUGGCGACGAAGUUCUCGGACAGACCUCUGUUCCUUUCGAGAAUUCUCGCGAAAGGAACGCGUGGACCGAUCGGCGACGCUAUAGCUUUGGGUACUUUCAGGACCCGUCUUGAAACACGGACCAAGGAGUCUAGCAUGUACGCGAGUCAUUGGGAAUCUCUAAACCUAAAGGCGUAAUGAAAGUGAAGGUCUUCCUAGCGAACGACCGAGGGAAGACGGACGGACGCGGACGAGUACGUCCUCCGUCCUGCACUCCCGGGGCGUCUCGUUCACAUCGCGUGAAGAGGCGCACCAAGAGCGUACACGCUGGGACCCGAAAGAUGGUGAACUAUGCCUGGU
rnacentral:rRNA from 1 species